rnacentral:rRNA from 1 species
GAUGAACGCUAGCGGCAGGCCUAAUACAUGCAAGUCGAACGGUGUCUUCGGACAUAGUGGCGCACGGGUGCGUAACACGUAUGCAACCUACCUUACAUUGGGGGAUAGCCUUUCGAAAGGGAGAUUAAUACCGCAUAAGACAGUAGCUGGGCAUCCAGCAGCUGUUAAAGAUUUAUCGAUGUAAGCUGGUCAUGCGCCCAAUCCGCUAGUUGGUGAGGUAACGGCUCACCAAGGCAAUGAUUGGAAGGGGAACUGAGAGGUCACUCCCCCACACUGCCACUGAUAUACGGGCCAGACUCCUCCGGGAGGCAGCAGUAGGGAUGAUUGGGCAAUGGACCCAAGUCUGACCCAGCCAUGCCGCGUGCAGGAUGAAGGCGUUAUGCGUUGUAAACUUCUUUUAUAAGGGACGAAAAAAGGCUUUUCUAAGUCGUCUGACGGUACCUUAUGAAUAAGCACCGGCUAACUCCGUGCCAGCCGCCGCCGUAAAAC